rnacentral:rRNA from 1 species
AGUGAACGCUGGCGGUAGGCCUAACACAUGCAAGUCGAACGGCAGCACAGUAAGAGCUUGCUCUUACGGGUGGCGAGUGGCGGACGGGUGAGGAAUACAUCGGAAUCUACUUUUUCGUGGGGGAUAACGUAGGGAAACUUACGCUAAUACCGUAUACGACCUACGGGUGAAAGUAGGGGAUCUUCGGACCUUGCGCGAUUGAAUGAGCCGAUGUCGGAUUAGCUAGUUGGCGGGGUAAAGGCCCACCAAGGCGACGAUCCGUAGCUGGUCUGAGAGGAUGAUCAGCCACACUGGAACUGAGACACGGUCCAGACUCCUACGGGAGGCAGCAGUGGGGAAUAUUGGACAAUGGGCGCAAGCCUGAUCCAGCCAUACCGCGUGGGUGAAGAAGGCCUUCGGGUUGUAAAGCCCUUUUGUUGGGAAAGAAAAGCAGCAGGUUAAUACCCCGCUGUUCUGACGGUACCCAAAGAAUAAGCACCGGCUAACUUCGUG